GACCUUUGCUGUGCACAACCCUGCUAGAGGAGCAUGGUUGCUGUAACGCAGCAAUAUAUCUUGAAUUGGCCCCAGGAGCUGAUGGGAGUUUGCAAAUCUAAUGUGAUUACUGCUCGAGGCAUUUCAACAGGAGACCAAAAAUAACCCCCGAGAAGUAGAGCUGAAAGCAGAUUCCUGUUCCCAGGCAAGGAAACACCAAAAUGCUGUUUUACCUCUGCUUAGCCCUGUCCCUUCACGGUUAUCAUUGGGUUCAGCUCUCAGCCUUCUCUAUCCUCUGGUGCCACCUGCAGCCCUACAACCAAGAGCUGGGAAGAUUGGUUUUGAAGACUUCCCCAGAGAUGGAUUUUCCUGCCAUCCUGUAGUCGUUACUUUUUGAAGUCCCUGAGGUGGUUUCCAUCCUGUAGCAAGUCUGGUGAGAAUCAUAGAACUGUUUGUGUUGGAAGGGACCUUUAAAAGUCAUCUAGUCAACCCCCGUGCUAUGAACGGGGUCAUUGAUUAGGUGAUCAGAGCCCAAUCCAGCCUGAAAAUCCCCAUGGUACCCUAUUUUCACGUGUAGCACCAAAAAAAACCUUUAGAAAAUUGACCCUUAGAUUUCAAAAGAGUAUGUGCAGGAAGGCUGGGAGGCUGAAGAGAAGCUCCUCAGCUCAUUCCAAUGGGUGCUGCUUGCCUAAAAUCAGUCUCGACUCUUUGUGCCUCAGUUUCCCCAGGUGCAGGAUAAGGAUGAUAAAACCUGCAUGGAGGGAUGCUGCAAAUGCUCAUGUGGUCCCAGCAGGUCCCUGCUUAAAGCUUGGUGUUUGCUCUUGGGUUUGAGGUACUUGCUGAUGGAGUCACUUAAACAGCUUCUAAGUUUUGGUCCACAUCCACUCAAUGAAACCCUGGCCAGAACCCAGCCAUGUGCUAGAAGCUCCGACACCAAAUAUUUCUGCAAAACAAGCCAGAAGCAAAGUCAGGGAAGGAGAAAGUGCAGACAAACUCCCACAGAGCAGCUGAGGAUCAACGCCAUGAUAUCUGUGCCAAAGACAUUGGAGGGACAUAUCUGGAAGAGCAACAGCAGGAACAUCUGCAGUGCUACGCACCCCAUCUGGGUCACUCACCUGUCCCCACAGCCCAUCUGCAGGGCAUGCAAAUCUUCCUCCACUUCUAAUUGCAAUUUGCAAACUCCUUUCGAAGUGUGCUGUUAGCUUCUAGAUGCUAGAUGCCGUUAGAUGUGCUGUUGCACACCUCCCACCCAUGCUGGACACCAACACUGGAAUACCACAGCAGAUGAUAUUCUCCAUUAAGAUACAAAAGAAAGAAGUCCAGAUAUGAGCUGAACUAAUGCAUUAUGUCACAGUCUGUUCUCUUCUCCUUUACUUUACUUUUUUUCCCCUUUCUUUUUUCCUUUCUCUGCUGGCUUUGCUUUCUGAUCCAGAGAAUAAAUAAGAUGGACUGGACUUUGUUACUUGGAAGGCCACCAAUUUCCAAACACAUGCCAAAUACCAGCUCUUCAUAACCUCACCAUAUGCUGCAGAGCUAAUUUUGACAGUUAUCAAAAAAGCUUAAACCCAGAAGAGCAGGAAGAGAUGCCCCACAUUCCUGUAGCUCAUGUAGCCAAACCUGGCACCCCAUCCUUUGGGACCCAUGAGGUCAUCCAAGUAGUGAAGUACACAUCUGUAAUACAGCUGCACAGCUCAAAGCACAGCCAACAUUCCCCUUGUUGAUUGCAAGCCAGCUCUGAAGAAGAGACCAUAAAACUGGUAGGGAAUAUUAACUCUGAGAUCCUCGAAUCCUGCAGGUGUAGUGGCUCUUACUCUGUGCAGGUUUGGGCACCACAAGAUAAGGAUAUAAAACUAUUAGAGAGCCUCCAAUGGAGGGCUACAAAGAUGGAGAAGGGUCUGGAGGGCAAGAGGUG